UUCUCAAGCUCUCUGCACCAUUAUUCACAGUCCUUUACCGCCUUUUCAAUCGCUGUUCUUCUCUGUUCAUGCUUCCAUACUCGGCUGGAAACCGGCUUCUCUUCGCGUCGUUGCGACUUUCAAUUUUUUUGCUCUUCUUCGAUCCUUGAGCUGCAUCCGCCGUGUGUAGCGCAGCAAUACGGCGGCCACCAGACUCCGAUCCGCCUUCCGAGAAGGAUCUGUUCGUCUAAUAGGUAGGAAAUUUUGCUCCAUACGUUUUAAAUAUGUCAUAAAUCAUACCGGAAAAGAAAUUAUCGCAUUUGGAGGGUGCGAUUCUGGUGCAUGUGCAGCUACUCUUUGGAAAUUUCCAUCAAGUAUGUGGGCGAAGUUCAAAUACCAAUUGUGAAGAAAUUCGUACACUAAAUCUGAGUAUCCAUUUUAGCUGCAAGUGGAAAGGCAUUUUCCGCAUCCAUCUGUUGUUUUCUUGGAAGAGUAAUGGCUGUUUUUAGGAUUCCACUUCAGUUCCGAGUGUAAGAUGAAAGAAGAGUGUCUUCUAUUCUAGCCCCUUAUACAGCUGCUGGCGAUUUUUGGUCUUUAAAGGGAAUGUUAGUCCAGAUUCUGUUGCGUUAAUUGCUGCUGCUGCUGCUGCUAAAAGAGUUCUGCCAAUGAAAAAUCAUGGAAGAAAGGGACUCAACGCUCACAGUCCAACUCUCUGACCAGGCCUUAAUAACAAUCAACUCACACAGCUCAUGGUGAUGGCUUAGAAGAUGGUUGGGUGGGAGUCUCAUAUUCGCUAACUAAGGUGGAUGAUAUCAUAUCAUUGUGGAGCUUCGUAAUUCCUAACAAGAUGUCGUCCACUCGUUUGCAAUCGGCUAAAAGAGAACCUAUUCGGCUGCAACUGCUACCACUCAUUCACCAGAUUAUCAAGAGCCGUCCACGUGUACAACGACACCAGAAUGGUGGGUCCCUGACUCUGGUGCGUUGCAUCGACGUGUCGUACGGCAGGAGGUCGAAGCUUGCAUUGGCCCUCUGGUGGUGAACCCACAGGUUGACAACUAACCCUAAAGUAUCGAUUUCACUGGCUCAGCCUUUUCCAUGUUUGUCUUCAUCCUUUGAUGCCCAUGUCUACGAUCGAAAUAUUUCUGAAAAAUAAAUUUGCGCAUUUCCCAUUAAAGUUUUAACAUUUUUUUUACU